CACGUAGGGGGCGAGCGUUGUCCGGAUUUAUUGGGCGUAAAGAGCUCGUAGGCGGCUCAGUAAGUCAGGUGUGAAAACUCCAGGCUCAACCUGGAGACGCCACCUGAUACUGCUGUGGCUAGAGUCCGGUAGGGGAGCAUGGAAUUCCUGGUGUAGCGGUGAAAUGCGCAGAUAUCAGGAGGAACACCAGUGGCGAAGGCGGUGCUCUGG
rnacentral:rRNA from 1 species